AAAAUACUCCCGCUCUUCACCAAUAUUCUUAGCCUCGCUUUUUAGUUUCAGUCCAAAAAAUCCUCGCCGCCCCUUUGAAGUGACUCCAAAAUCUGUAUACUCCCCUAUUUGGCACCUCUGAUUCUCCGUCUUCUCGCACUCAACGCAUCUUACUGGAAAACCGAGGGAACAUCGGGGACAUGUAGGUUCUUUCGUUAACGAGUAUCCAUGUUCUUUGUUUCACUUGUGGCAAGGGUGAUGGUAAGGAGUAUACUAGAGGCGGAAUUCAGAAAUGGAUGUGCGAAUAAAGGUACUAUUAAGUAUCAAGUUGCUCCAAAUGCACAGGCGUGAAAUUGUGAUAGCAACAAAGUAUGCUAGUGGUUUUGAUAACUUUUUUAUUGCACCCGAAGCUCAGUUCAAGUACAACAGGUAUAAUAAAUCAACUCUAGUACUCAAUUCUUUUUUCUAGGCUUGGGUUGUAUACAAAGAAUAAAGCUUACAGGUGUAAAUGACCCAGGCUACUCGCAAGUUACUCGAGAUCGGCUCAAAACCAGACGACCUUAAAAGGAGCUGGUGUCCGAGUUCGAAUCUAAACUUUACUUACUGACCUUGAGCCAGCUUGUGAGACUAAUUAGCAGGACUAUUAUUUUUACUUCCUCCUUAUUCUGUACUUUCACAACAUAGUUUUUGUGUUUUUUUUAAUGUUCUGAGGUCCAUGGCCCUGUUGACACAAAGGAGACGGGAUCAAUUAUGUGCAGUAUCAUUUCUUUAUGAUUUGUGAACCAAGAUUCAAGUUGGACCGAUGUGAAAUAGAAUCGGGAAGGAGUAGAGGAAUACUCUAUUGCGGAUAUUGAUGGUAUUCGUGAAGAUUGGCCGGCUUAUGUCGUUACCUUAUUUUUAAGUAACGAUGUAUUGAAAAACAAUUCUUUUUUUUUUUUGUUAACGUUAAAGUAUUUGUAGUAUACUUGACAAAUGAUUAUAUAAUGGAUUGUUUUGUUAUAUA